rnacentral:misc_RNA from 1 species
GAUGAAGAACGCAGCGAAAUGCGAUAAGUAAUGUGAAUUGCAGAAUUCAGUGAAUCAUCGAAUCUUUGAACGCACAUUGCGCCCCUUGGUAUUCCGAGGGGCAUGCCUGUUCGAGCGUCAUUAUAACCCUCAAGCUCAGCUUGGUGUUGGGGCCUGCUGCAGUGGCAGCCCUUAAAAUCAGUGGCGGCGCCAUCUGGCUCUAAGCGUAGUAAUUCUUCUCGCUAUGGAGUCCUGGUGGAUGCUUGCCAUCAACCCCCAAUUUUUCUAUGGUUGACCUCGGAUCAGGUAGGGAUACCCGCUGAACUUAAGCAUAUCAAUAAGCGGAGGA